rnacentral:lncRNA from 1 species
ACUAGUGAUUUAACUUGUUGGUUAUUAAGUUGAAUCAUGAUACUACAUUGGAUCUAUUAUAUUCUAAUAGUUGGGAAUAUUUUGUGCAUCUUGGUAUUAUGUUUGUGUAAGAUAAAGUUGAUGAUGUGUUUCUCUCAACUGUUUGGAUACUUGGUAAUAUCGUAUAUAUGUUUAUUUUGCGUGGCAUUUCUUGCCAUUUUGUUACUAUUUUCAUUAGUCUCACACUAGGUGUCUAAAAGAAGGUGACCUCUAUUUGGGUGGAUAAACCAGAUAAUU